UGAGAAUGCCUUCCGGUACUGGGGUUUCAAGACUUCGACAAUCCUGAAUGUCCUAGGACAGAAGGCAUUUUCGCUGUUCACACGCCGAUCAGCCACUCACCCAUCCACGGAUUCAG
rnacentral:sRNA from 1 species